CGGGGGGCGCGGGGGGCCAGGCGCCUCUCCCCGCCCCGCGCCGCCGUCAGCAGGGAACCGCGGUCCCGCCCCGCGCUCGCCGACGCACCGCGGCCAUUUGGUACGAAUGGAUCCCGCUCGAUUUCUGGCUUCGCAGUAUCGGGGGAAGCAACACUCGAGCCCGGGCGCCCAGAGUCCUCUGUCGUGCAAGUCUCUGCACGCGCCGCGUGGGUCCAUCCAGUGACACAAACUCAAGCUGAUACGAGGCUCCUGCCCUCGGCUGGUCUCUGUGAGGGAGGGUUCGGCAUGGAGACCUGGAAAUGACACACUCUGUCUUCCGGCUGCCUCCGACCCUGCGCGGGAUUCUGCUUCGGCGAUGGCUGCAUUUGCUGCUGCUACUGUUGCUGCUACUUCUAGAGAGAGGUCUCCAGCAGCUUUGUCACUAGGCACAAAGCUGCUCACAUCUUAGUGUCCUGGACAGGAGUGUCACCCUGUGAACAGCGGAGGAAAGAAUGAGUUAGGAAGAGAGUGUGGUAAAUCCUGACACUUGGCAGAUUUCCGCGGGGAGGCCAGAUCCAGCAAUAAGUAUAACACCGGUAGAAGUGACGGUAACGAUAACGGCAUGUGCCUGA